rfam:Capsicum annuum cultivar Zunla-1 chromosome 6, whole genome shotgun sequence
AGCCACGCGAUGCGCACAUAGCGAACUAUUCUUUCGCCUUUUACUAAAGAAUACCGUGUGUGUGUCGCCAAUAGUGGCAUACGGCAAUUUUUGGAGGGGUUCUCCUCACCGAGGAU